rnacentral:antisense_RNA from 2 species
UUCUAUGGCAGCUGUGCGCGGGACACCUUUGGGUGUGCCGGGUUUUUCAUAGACUGCACCCGGUCGGCUAACCCUCGUACAGCUGCCACCCUU